GGCUGGUCCAAAGGUAGUGAGUUAUUUCACUUGAUUGUUCACAGUCAGUUACAGAUUGAAUUCCUUGUUCUACUACUUUCUCCCUUCCUCACUAUUGCACUUGACUAGUCUUAA
ensembl:misc_RNA Y_RNA Y RNA